GUUCUAUCCUCUGUAAUAUUUUCUAUUGUAUAGUGGAAUUAUUCUCUCUCAUCCGUGGACGUAGGCAUGGUUAGCCGAACCACGUUAAAACCUCGUAUGUGUGAUUGUGUUUAUCUUUGUGUUCUUGAACUAUCAUUGUUGGCAUCAAAGCUUUCGCUGGCACUACAAUUGGUAUCAGAGCUUGGGUUGAAGAUUUCUGGAAGAGUAAAAAAUCACAAAGCACAUAAGAUGAAAACAAAAGGAAUUUUCACUGAAGGUGGAGUCAAUUGCUCUUUCGUGGUGAUAUGAUACAAAAAGGUUUGUGUCAUGGAGAGAUUGAAGAUUAACUUCAUGUAAUUUGGUCCAAGGUGGAGAUUGUUGGGAAUUGUCCCAAAUUCCUAAUUAGUAAAUAUUCCUUUUUGUAAAGAAUAUUGUAUAGAAUAUUUCUAGGUUGAUAUAUUAUUGUAAUAUUAGACUUCCUUAUAGAAUAAGGAAGGUUGUUGGAAAUAUCUCUAUAAAUAUUCUAGGUCAUGAGGGGAAAAAGUUAUGAGAUGGAGAUGAGCCUAUAGAGACUAUACGAGGUGGAUAGAGAUGUGAGGAAGAACGGGAGGUACCUGGUGGAGCGAGAGGGCUCGUAGUAAGGUAUGGAUACAAGGAGUGGGGAAACAUGGGAUGUUUCGGGAACCCAAUAGUUGUAUCUGGUUCUAUCCUCUGUAAUAUUUUCUAUUGUAUAGUGGAAUUAUUCUCUCUCAUCCGUGGACGUAGGCAUGGUUAGCCGAACCACGUUAAAACCUCGUAUGUGUGAUUGUGUUUAUCUUUGUGUUCUUGAACUAUCAUUGUUGGCAUCAAAGCUUUCGCUGGCACUACAGAAUUCAUGGGUUUUCUGAAUUGUUUUCACUAAGAAGGAGUUCACCCAGUACUCCUAGGCCUAAGAAGCUCGACAUUUCUUUGCAAACAUAAGAAGCACAGGCUGGAACUAUGGAGGCCAUAGGUUUUACAUGGUAAAAAGUGGGUUGACGGAGGAAUUGAGAAA
rnacentral:lncRNA from 1 species